UGGAAAAAUUAGUUUAAUAUAAAAUAUAAAUCUGUCAGAUUUUUGAUACUUUCAAGUAUUUUUCU
rnacentral:tRNA from 1 species